UUAGGUCCCGCCCCGCCCCCGCCCCGAACUUCAGCCCUGCUCUCCCCGCGCUCCUCAGCCGGGUCAACGUCCCGCCCCGGCCUCAAGCUCCAGCCACGCCCUUUCCACGGCGGCCCCACAGCGCCCCGGGUGCGGGCUCUCCUCACCUCCGUCGGGCCAACACGCCCAAAACGCUCACCCCGUCCUCAGCUCGGUCGGGCCCAAGGCCCCGCCCCUCCCGCUCCGUUCCCCUCAGCCCAGCCCCAGGCCCCGCCCACCUACUCCUGCGCUAAGUUCUCGCGUGGCCUUUGCCCUCACCCCGAGGGUCGGCUCCCUCGAGCGUCGUCCCUCCACACCUCAGUAUCUCCAGGCCGUUUCUAGUAGCCGCGUCCCUCUGGGGGCCGCCCUUCCCUACACCCCCGCUCACCGGCACGGCCCCCCCUUUUCUCUCUAAAGUCUCGAGUCUGAGGGCCCGUUCACUCCUUCUGCCUUCAACCCUGUCCUGGGCGGGGCUCAGCCUGCGACACGGCCCCGCCCACGCCGGCGGCCCCGCCCACUCCGCCUCACCUGCGCUGGAGCUCCGGCCAACGCCCGCCAGGCGCAGGGCUGUGUGACAACCCCCAUACACCACCGUCCUCACCUCCUCUCCAAGUCAGAUGCAUCUGUCUCAGAGCCCUUGCGCACUGCACUGGGGCUGAGAGCAGCGACCCUACCUGGUAAAGUUGGAGGUCACUGUGCCGUCUAAAUCACGAGGAGACCUGGAUCCCAUUACCUCCCCAAAAUCCUUCGCUCAGUGAGACUGGGUUGGCUGCUUUUCCCAACUUCAUCCUGCUCCUUCUCCUUCUCCUUUUCCUUUCUGUCUUCCUGCCUCCCCCGUCCUCCAUGUGUUCAGCAAUCUCUGAAAUGAAUCCCCAAAUGCCCCUGUCCCCUCCCCAGAUCCUCCACCUUCCUCUCUCUGUGUGCCCAAAGCACUGACUCUGCCCUUUCCUGAGGGCACUGCUCCCAUGUCAUUCACGUUCUAGUAACCUCCGAGCAGGGCUCUGAGUGCCCCAGACCUCCUUCGUGUCUGUAUCUGGCAACAGCAAUGGUUUGCUAAGUGAAUGCGCGUGAUUAAUAAAUUGAGCAGUGUUCAUUGGAAAACA